rnacentral:tRNA from 1 species
GACUAAGUCUCAGUGGUAAAGCUUUGGCUUAGUAUGUAGAAGGCCCCAGGUUCAAUCCCUGGUAAAGGGAUCA